UCUAAAUUUUAUGGAGCAGUGGAUGGAUUUUUAGAUACUUUAUUUUAUUUUAAAUUCAAGAUAAAUUUCUAGAUAUUUCAUCCUCGACGAAGAUUCUCUCAGUUCAUAGCUCAUGUCUUGCACAAAUGAAGUCCAUCCAAGUAGUGAGCUUCAUCCUAAAAAUCGAUAGAUCAAAGAUAUGAAAUCCCCCAGCAGUCAAAAAUCUGAUGUUCGAGCUUC
rnacentral:lncRNA from 1 species